GAGUUUGAUCAUGGCUCAGAACGAACGCUGGCGGCAUGCCUAACACAUGCAAGUCGAACGAACUCUUCGGAGUUAGUGGCGCACGGGUGCGUAACGCGUGGGAAUCUGCCCUUGGGUACGGAAUAACUCAGAGAAAUUUGUGCUAAUACCGUAUAAUGACUUCGGUCCAAAGAUUUAUCGCCCAAGGAUGAGCCCGCGUAAGAUUAGCUAGUUGGUGGGUAAAGGCCUACCAAGGCUACGAUCUUUAGCUGGUCUGAGAGGAUGAUCAGCCACACUGGGACUGAGACACGGCCCAGACUCCUACGGGAGGCAGCAGUGGGGAAUAUUGGACAAUGGGCGAAAGCCUGAUCCAGCAAUGCCGCGUGAGUGAUGAAGGCCUUAGGGUUGUAAAGCUCUUUUACCCGGGAUGAUAAUGACAGUACCGGGAGAAUAAGCUCCGGCUAACUCCGUGCCAGCAGCCGCCGUAAC
rnacentral:rRNA from 1 species